rnacentral:lncRNA from 13 species
GUUUUCAAAGAAACUUGGGACAGAGCUAUUUAUUAAUAAGGAUACAGUUUCAAAACAGUGAAAACCAUUUGUUUUGUGUUUUCUUCAGUCUGAAAACAUGUGACACCAAAGCCUGAGGAACUGGAAGAACUCCCAAAAGUCUAAUUCACAAAUAUCCUACAGAUCUUUGGAGAAUUUUCCUUGAGACAGUGCUUCUGGAACAAAACAGUGAGGCUCAUCCAGAUUAGUUACACAGGAUUGCCCAGUCCCUGCCUGCCUCAUUUGAAAGUACCAUGAAGUUCAAAGCUGCACAUGCAAUAAUAUUUAAUCCAUCAAGAAGGUAAACAGCACCUACCUUUUCCCAAUUUCGUGCCCAGGGACCAGUAUAUAGAAGUACGUGGAAACUUCAGACUUUUCUAUCGCAUCGUUCUCAUUUAUCC